rnacentral:rRNA from 1 species
GCGGAUGAAGGGAGCUUGCUCCUGGAUUCAGCGGCGGACGGGUGAGUAAUGCCUAGGAAUCUGCCUGGUAGUGGGGGAUAACGUCCGGAAACGGGCGCUAAUACCGCAUACGUCCUGAGGGAGAAAGUGGGGGAUCUUCGGACCUCACGCUAUCAGAUGAGCCUAGGUCGGAUUAGCUAGUUGGUGGGGUAAAGGCCUACCAAGGCGACGAUCCGUAACUGGUCUGAGAGGAUGAUCAGUCACACUGGAACUGAGACACGGUCCAGACUCCUACGGGAGGCAGCAGUGGGGAAUAUUGGACAAUGGGCGAAAGCCUGAUCCAGCCAUGCCGCGUGUGUGAAGAAGGUCUUCGGAUUGUAAAGCACUUUAAGUUGGGAGGAAGGGCAGUAAGUUAAUACCUUGCUGUUUUGACGUUACCAACAGAAUAAGCACCGGCUAACUUCGUGCCAGCAGCCGCGGUAAUACGAAGGGUGCAAGCGUUAAUCGGAAUUACUGGGCGUAAAGCGCGCGUAGGUGGUUCAGCAAGUUGGAUGUGAAAUCCCCGGGCUCAACCUGGGAACUGCAUCCAAAACUACUGAGCUAGAGUACGGUAGAGGGUGGUGGAAUUUCCUGUGUAGCGGUGAAAUGCGUAGAUAUAGGAAGGAACACCAGUGGCGAAGGCGACCACCUGGACUGAUACUGACACUGAGGUGCGAAAGAGUGGGGAGCAAACAGGAUUAGAUACCCUGGUAGUCCACGCCGUAAACGAUGUCGACUAGCCGUUGGGAUCCUUGAGAUC